AGGACGAACGCUGGCGGCGUGCUUAACACAUGCAAGUCGAGCGGAAAGGCCCUUCGGGGUACUCGAGCGGCGAACGGGUGAGUAACACGUGAGCAACCUGCCCCUGGCUCUGGGAUAGCCUCCGGAAACGGGGAUUAAUACCGGACAUUCACUUCCUUCCGCAUGGUUGGUGGUGGAAAGUUUUUCGGCCGGGGAGGGGCUCGCGGUCUAUCAGCUUGUUGGCGGGGUAACGGCCCACCAAGGCGACGACGGAUAGCCGGCCUGAGAGGGCGAUCGGCCACACUGGGACUGAGACACGGCCCAGACUCCUACGGGAGGCAGCAGUGGGGAAUAUUGCACAAUGGGCGCAAGCCUGAUGCAGCGACGCCGCGUGGGGGAUGAAGGCCUUCGGGUUGUAAACCCUUUCACCAGGAGCGAAUUCAGACGGUACCUGGGGAAGAAGCGCCGGCUAACUACGCGCCAGCAGCCGC
rnacentral:rRNA from 1 species